CAUUAUAUAUUAAUUCUGAUUUCAGUUUCAGUUUUCUGUGUCAGUUAUUGUGAGAGCAUGUUAAAUUGACACAGGUGAUGAAAAGAGUGUGUGAUUUGUCCCUGAAUGUCUAUAUAUCAGCUCCACACAAUAGAUAAUCUGUCACUCAAAGGUUUUUAUGAUUUUAUGACAUCGCUCUGUGGGUCUCCAGGUACGUUGUACAUCCCUGAUCUUCAGUGUCCACAUUUCCUGAGCACAGAGUUCAUCAACACCAACGUGACCAGCAGCUCACAACUACUCACCUGCUGCACACAACUCUAUAACAGUGUGACGGUGUAUGAGCCGUGGAACGUGACGGUCGGAGCAGGAUUCAGUCAGAGCAGCCUGCAACGCUGCUGUGCACUCACACCCCCCACACACUUCAACUGCAGCCUGGUGCUUUGAAUCACUGUGUACAAAACACACACCUCCGUGGUGGUGAGCACUGUGACGAGUUAUUUUUCUAUCUGUAAUGUUUACUGUUGUUAUAAUACAUUUUCAAUAAAGUUGCAUUGGUUUUGUACAAAAAUAUCAACAA